UAAAAAACAUACAAAAAAGAAGAAAAUGAAGAAAAAGCCAGCAUUCAAGAGUGGAACGUGCAAAAACGUCUGCUUCGGAGGGCACCAUGAGUUUCUGCUUUGUUGGCAAGGAUGUUGACGUAGCUUCAGCCUCAGUCCCCAAGCAGCCUGAUGAAGGAACCAGUGUUGCUUCCAUUCCUGGCCUAGUGUGGGCUGGUGAGGACCAAUGCUGCCCCUACACCAGUUUCUGAGCAGAUUGUAGGCCUCCAGAGGGGCUCCUUCUGAGAUGCCAGCCUCUUUCCUGCAUCCCAAAGGGGCCCCGCUUCAGACCCCAGCCCUCUGUUUGCUCUUCAGUAUGGUCCUUGCAUCAACAUGGGUCCCUACGCUGUCCCCCUGAACAACCUCAGUAGAUUGUCUGCUGCCAAAGCCAACCACUGGAAUGACCUCAGCUACCUGCCCAGUUCAGAGGCCGACCACUCUGUCUACUUCCGGGACAUUCCUCCUGAGUGGCCUCAGUUACCUGUCCAGUUCAGAGGAUGACUACCCAAACAACCCCAAUUUACAGUCCGCAUCCGCAGGGGUCACCCACCGGAUUUACCUCAGUUAUCUUGCUGGCUUCAUGAAUACUCUGCUGUAUGGUCUGGUCCAUUCUUUAGCUAUGUUCACAAUUUUCUUACUUUGCUUUUUGAAGGAUAGUGGUGAAUCAACUAUAAUGCCCAACUAUUUGAAAUCUUG